UACGAAGGGGGCAAGCGUUGUUCGGAUUUACUGGGCGUAAAGCGUACGUAGGCGGAUAAUUAAGUCAGGGGUGAAAUCCCGGGGCUCAACCUCGGAACUGCCUUUGAUACUGGUUGUCUUGAGUCCGGGAGAGGUGAGUGGAACUCCUAGUGUAGAGGUGAAAUUCGUAGAUAUUAGGAAGAACACCAGUGGCGAAGGCGGCUCACUGGCCCGGAACUGACGCUGAUGUACGAAAGCGUGGGGAGCAAACAGG
rnacentral:rRNA from 1 species